rnacentral:rRNA from 1 species
AUGACGUUGGGAAAGCGAGCGGCGGAUGGGUGAGUAACACGUGGGGAACCUGCCCCUAAGUCUGGGAUACCAUUUGGAAACAGGUGCUAAUACCGGAUAAUAAAGCAGAUCGCAUGAUCAGCUUUUGAAAGGCGGCGUAAGCUGUCGCUAAGGGAUGGCCCCGCGGUGCAUUAGCUAGUUGGUAAGGUAACGGCUUACCAAGGCGACGAUGCAUAGCCGAGUUGAGAGACUGAUCGGCCACAUUGGGACUGAGACACGGCCCAAACUCCUACGGGAGGCAGCAGUAGGGAAUCUUCCACAAUGGAUGCAAGUCUGAUGGAGCAACGCCGCGUGAGUGAAGAAGGUUUUCGGAUCGUAAAGCUCUGUUGUUGGUGAAGAAGGAUAGAGGUAGUAACUGGCCUUUAUUUGACGGUAAUCAACCAGAAAGUCACGGCUAACUACGUGCCAGCAGCCGCGGUAAUACGUAGGUGGCAAGCGUUGUCCGGAUUUAUUGGGCGUAAAGCGAGCGCAGGCGGAAAAAUAAGUCUAAUGUGAAAGCCCUCGGCUUAACCGAGGAACUGCAUCGGAAACUGUUUUUCUUGAGUGCAGAAGAGGAGAGUGGAACUCCAUGUGUAGCGGUGGAAUGCGUAGAUAUAUGGAAGAACACCAGUGGCGAAGGCGGCUCUCUGGUCUGCAACUGACGCUGAGGCUCGAAAGCAUGGGUAGCGAACAGGAUUAGAUACCCUGGUAGUCCAUGCCGUAAACGAUGAGUGCUAAGUGUUGGGGAGGUUUCCGCCUCUCAGUGCUGCAGCUAACGCAUUAAGCACUCCGCCUGGGGAGUACGACCGCAAGGUUGAAACUCAAAGGAAU